GACAGAGGAUGCAAGCGUUAUCCGGAAUGAUUGGGCGUAAAGCGUCUGUAGGUGGCUUUUUAAGUCCGCCGUCAAAUCCCAGGGCUCAACCCUGGACAGGCGGUGGAAACUAUCAAGCUGGAGUACGGUAGGGGCAGAGGGAAUUUCCGGUGGAGCGGUGAAAUGCGUAGAGAUUGGAAAGAACACCAAUGGCGAAAGCACUUUACUGGGCUAUUACUGACACUGAGAGACGAAAGCUAGGGUAGCAAUGGG
rnacentral:rRNA from 1 species